UUGUAAUGUAUGAGUCAUAAAAUACAUGUAGUAAUCACCAGAAUUAUGUGGCUAUAUUGUCAAAGAAGCAAACAUUUACAAUGUUGUAUCAUGCUUAUUGUUUUAUACGUAUGGAUGGCACAUUUAUGUAUGGCAUAUUUUAGAAUGCAGUGACCUAUAAUGAUGUGCAUGUCGACAUCACUCAGGAAGAGUGGGCAUUGAUAGAUCCUUCACAGAAGAAUCUCUACAAAGAUGUGAUGCUGGAGACCUAUAAGAACCUCAUUUCUUCUACAAUUGGGAAGAUCUUAAAGUUGAAGAACAUUGUCAAAGUUCUCAAAAACAUGGAAGUUAUAUCAUAAGUCACUCUGGGUACCAGCUCUAUGAACAUAAGAAUAUGGGAAGAAGCAAUGUACAUCUCUCAAUAUGAGAACAAUUAGAAGAUACAUAGUAGUUCCAUGGCAUAAAAGAAGUCAUACUACAGUGAAAUCACAUGAACAUACUGAGUGUGGUAAAGCCUUUGAAUGUCAUAGUCGUAAAGCCUUUGCAUUGCCCUAUAUAAAAACUCAUACUGGAGAGAAACCCUAUAAGUAUAAUCAAUGUGGUAAUGCCUAGUCAAAACACAAAGUAACCCUGUCACUGUAAAAUUUUAGUGUGUAAUUAGUCUCUUAAAGCCUUUCAAUAUAACAUUAAACUUUGAAUAUCUGAAAGAAACUCAUACCAAAGGAAAUCUGAAUGUAUAUAAAUUCUUAUGAUCUUCAGCCAAAAUACUUAAAUUCAAUUUCAAAAAAUGAAUUAUUUUGGAAAAAAUCUAAAAUGUGUCAAUAAUCUGUUCAAGCAUUAUAAUAUCUCUUUUUAUUUUGUUUACAUAUUUCAACAAAUGUGGACAAAAAGCCUAUUUAAAUGACAAGUAACAUUUUAGAUUUCAUACUUCUGUUCAAAUACAGGAGAUAAUGAAUUCUGAUCUAAAAUUUCAGAGAUAUGCCUUUCCUGUUGCUAUGAUAAUAGAUCAUAUCUAUGUGAGUUCAGAAAAGGGUUUAAUUUUGCCCUGGGUUCCACAGAAAUACUUGAACCUCUCAAAGGUGUCAUGAAAACAAGUAUCAGAUAUGGCAGCUAAAAGAGGCACCUAAGAAUUCACAAUUCUUGUCCUGCAGGAUAAAGCUAAAAGUAUAAAUUGGAAAUGGUGUGCAGAUAUAAAUGCUCAAGCCAACACUCAUGACUGAUUUCUCCAGCAGAAUACCAUUUUCUAAAUUUUCUCAAAUGAUAUCACAGACUGAAAAUGAUAGAUUACUCAGACUUCAAGACUUCAUGUUGGCUUUCUGUUACAUGGACCAAUUCAUGAUGGAGAAAAACUCUAUAAUCAUUUAGAUGCCUCAAAACCCAUGUUACCAGAAUGAUAAUAGAAAAAUAUUCAUGAUUGAAAAUUAGUUUAAAGAUUUGUUU